GACGAACGCUGGCGGCGUGCUUAACACAUGCAAGUCGAACGGAAAGGCCCUGCUGUGGUGGGACGCUCGAGGGGCGAAUGGGUAAGUAACAAGUGAGUAACCUGCCCUUGACUUUGGGAUAACGGCAGGAAACUGGGGCUAAUACCGGAUAGGAGCUCCGGCUGCAGGGUGGGGGUUGGAAAGUUGCGGCGGGGGGGGAUGGACUCGCGGCUUAUCAGCUUGUUGGUGGGGUAGUGGCUUACCAAGGCUUUGACGGGUAGCCGGCCUGAGAGGGUGACCGGCCACAUUGGGACUGAGAUACGGCCCAGACUCCUACGGGAGGCAGCAGUGGGGAAUAUUGCACAAUGGGCGGAAGCCUGAUGCAGCAACGCCGCGUGCGGGAUGACGGCCUUCGGGUUGUAAACCGCUUUCGCCUGUGACGAAGCGUGAGUGACGGUAAUGGGUAAAGAAGCACCGGCUAACUACGUG
rnacentral:rRNA from 1 species